rnacentral:rRNA from 1 species
UACGUAGGGUGCAAGCGUUAAUCGGAAUUACUGGGCGUAAAGCGUGCGCAGGCGGUUAUGCAAGACAGGUGUGAAAUCCCCGGGCUUAACCUGGGAACUGCAUUUGUGACUGCAUAGCUAGAGUACGGUAGAGGGGGAUGGAAUUCCGCGUGUAGCAGUGAAAUGCGUAGAUAUGCGGAGGAACACCGAUGGCGAAGGCAAUCCCCUGGGCAUGCACUGACGCUCAUGCACGAAAGCGUGGGGAGCAAACAGG